UGGGGAAUAUUGCACAAUGGGCGAAAGCCUGAUGCAGCGACGCCGCGUGAGGGAUGACGGCCUUCGGGUUGUAAACCUCUUUCGCACGGGACGAAGCGAGAGUGACGGUACCGUGAGAAGAAGCACCGGCUAACUACGUGCCAGCAGCCGCGGUAAUACGUAGGGUGCGAGCGUUGUCCGGAAUUAUUGGGCGUAAAGAGCUCGUAGGCGGUUUGUCGCGUCUAUCGUGAAAACUGGAGGCUUAACUUUCAGCGUGCGGUGGAUACGGGCAGACUUGAGUUCGGUAGGGGAGACUGGAAUUCCUGGUGUAGCGGUGAAAUGCGCAGAUAUCAGGAGGAACACCGGUGGCGAAGGCGGGUCUCUGGGCCGAAACUGACGCUGAGGAGCGAAAGCGUGGGGAGCAAACAG
rnacentral:rRNA from 1 species